rnacentral:lncRNA from 1 species
GUUUGAAGUGGUGCAUUCUGGGUAGGUUUCGUCAAGGUUACGUCCACCUUUCUGCUUCGCCUGGUUCCUCUCGUCACUCAACCUUUUCACUCACCAUGUCUACAUUUUGGCGUCAAGCUGGACUAAAUUAUGUGCAGUUUUCAUCAAUCUGUGCCAAAGUUGUGCGAUCUUGUCUCCACCCAGCACCGAGAGCAGCGGCUGAGAAGCAGUCUGCGGCAUUUGUAAAGGCUACACGAUGGGAAGGAGGAAAACCAGUCAAAGUUGCAGCAGAGAAAUCAUGAAACCAUAACAACAUAGUAGCCAUGUACUAUGUACACAUUGGCACCUUUUACUUCCUUGAACUCUAUAAUUAAGUAAAAUCUAUUUGUAAAUGC